rnacentral:rRNA from 1 species
AGGCUUAACACAUGCAAGUCGAGGGGCAUCAGGAAGAAAGCUUGCUUUCUUUGCUGGCGACCGGCGCACGGGUGAGUAAUACGUAUCCAACCUGCCCUUUACUCGGGGAUAGCCUUUCGAAAGAAAGAUUAAUACCCGAUAGCAUAAUGAUUCCGCAUGGUUUCAUUAUUAAAGGAUUCCGGUAAAGGAUGGGGAUGCGUUCCAUUAGGUUGUUGGUGAGGUAACGGCCCACCAAGCCUUCGAUGGAUAGGGGUUCUGAGAGGAAGGUCCCCCACAUUGGAACUGAGACACGGUCCAAACUCCUACGGGAGGCAGCAGUGAGGAAUAUUGGUCAAUGGGCGCUAGCCUGAACCAGCCAAGUAGCGUGAAGGAUGAAGGCUCUAUGGGUCGUAAACUUCUUUUAUAUAAGAAUAAAGUGCAGUAUGUAUACUGUUUUGUAUGUAUUAUAUGAAUAAGGAUCGGCUAACUCCGUGCCAGCAGCCGCGGUAAUACGGAGGAUCCGAGCGUUAUCCGGAUUUAUUGGGUUUAAAGGGAGCGUAGGUGGACUGGUAAGUCAGUUGUGAAAGUUUGCGGCUCAACCGUAAAAUUGCAGUUGAUACUGUCAGUCUUGAGUACAGUAGAGGUGGGCGGAAUUCGUGGUGUAGCGGUGAAAUGCUUAGAUAUCACGAAGAACUCCGAUUGCGAAGGCAGCUCACUGGACUGCAACUGACACUGAUGCUCGAAAGUGUGGGUAUCAAACAGGAUUAGAUACCCUGGUAGUCCACACAGUAAACGAUGAAUACUCGCUGUUUGCGAUAUACAGUGAGCGGCCAAGCGAAAGCAUUAAGUAUUCCACCUGGGGAGUACGCCGGCAACGGUGAAACUCAAAGGAAUUGACGGGGGCCCGCACAAGCGGAGGAACAUGUGGUUUAAUUCGAUGAUACGCGAGGAACCUUACCCGGGCUUAAAUUGCAGUGGAAUGAUGUGGAAACAUGUCAGUGAGCAAUCACCGCUGUGAAGGUGCUGCAUGGUUGUCGUCAGCUCGUGCCGUGAGGUGUCGGCUUAAGUGCCAUAACGAGCGCAACCCUUAUCUUUAGUUACUAACAGGUUAUGCUGAGGACUCUAGAGAGACUGCCGUCGUAAGAUGUGAGGAAGGUGGGGAUGACGUCAAAUCAGCACGGCCCUUACGUCCGGGGCUACACACGUGUUACAAUGGGGGGUACAGAAGGCAGCUAGCGGGUGACCGUAUGCUAAUCCCAAAAUCCUCUCUCAGUUCGGAUCGAAGUCUGCAACCCGACUUCGUGAAGCUGGAUUCGCUAGUAAUCGCGCAUCAGCCACGGCGCGGUGAAUACGUUCCCGGGCCUUGUACACACCGCCCGUCAAGCCAUGGGAGCCGGGGGUGCCUGAAGUACGUAACCGCAAGGAUCGUCCUAGGGUAAAACUGGUGACUGGGGCUAAG